UACGGGGGGAGCAAGCGUUGUUCGGAUUUACUGGGCGUAAAGGGCGUGUAGGCGGUCAGGUAAGUGGGAUGUGAAAUCCUCCGGCUCACCCGGAGACCUGCAUCCCAAACUGUCUGGCUUGAGUAUGGGAGAGGAUGAGGGAAUUCCUGGUGUAGCGGUGAAAUGCGUAGAUAUCAGGAGGAACACCGGUGGCGAAAGCGCUCAUCUGGCCCAAUACUGACGCUGAGGCGCGAAAGCUAGGGGAGCAAACGGG
rnacentral:rRNA from 1 species